rnacentral:tRNA from 1 species
AUCUCCGUGGGUUAGUGGUUAAGUCAUUGGCGUUCUAAGCUAGAGACUGGGUUCGAUUCCCAGCGGAGACA